UACGUAGGGACCAAGCGUUGUUCGGAUUUACUGGGCGUAAAGGGCGCGUAGGCGGCGCGGUAAGUCACUUGUGAAAUCUCUGAGCUUAACUCAGAACGGCCAAGUGAUACUGCAGUGCUAGAGUGUGGUAGGGGAGAUCGGAAUUCCUGGUGUAGCGGUGAAAUGCGCAGAUAUCAGGAGGAAUACCGAUGGCGAAGGCAGCCCCCUGGGAUAGCACUGACGCUCAUGCACGAAAGCGUGGGGAGCAAACAGG
rnacentral:rRNA from 1 species